UAUAAGGGAUUUUGAGUUUUUAUUUGUAAUAUUUGAUCACUCGUCUUAUUCAAAAUUUUUUAAAAUUAUUAUUUAUUUUAUUUGUGACUUACUUUAUUAUGUACAGUAUUUUAAGCAUAACUUUUCAUUUUAUAUAUUUGCAAAAAAAAAUUGAAUAAGACGAGUGGUCAAACGUUGCAAGCAAAAACUCAAAAUCCCUUAUA
rfam:Oryza glaberrima chromosome 2 Oglab02_0033_14, whole genome shotgun sequence.